rnacentral:rRNA from 1 species
CCUACGGGAGGCAGCAGUAAGGAAUAUUGGUCAAUGGAGGCAACUCUGAACCAGCCAUGCCGCGUGCAGGAUGAAGGCCCUAUGGGUCGUAAACUGCUUUUGUACCAGAGAAAACCCGAGUACGUGUACUCGGUUGAUAGUAUGGUAAGAAUAAGCAUCGGCUAACUUCGUGCCAGCAGCCGCGGUAAGACGAAGGAUGCAAGCGUUAUCCGGAUUCAUUGGGUUUAAAGGGUGCGUAGGCGGACUGAUAAGUCAGUGGUGAAAUCUCUCGGCUUAACCGAGAAACUGCCAUUGAUACUGUCAGUCUAGAGUACAGAUGAUGUGGGCGGAAUAUGACAUGUAGCGGUGAAAUGCUUAGAUAUGUCAUAGAACACCGAUUGCGAAGGCAGCUCACAAAACUGUAACUGACGCUGAGGCACGAAAGUGCGGGGAUCAAACAGGAUUAGAUACCCUGGUAGUCCGCACCGUAAACGAUGAUUACUCGUUGUUGGCAAUAUGACCGUCAGCGACCAAGCGAAAGCGAUAAGAAUCCACCUGGGGAGUACGCCGGCGAACGGUGAAACGUCAAAUGAAUUGACGG